rnacentral:rRNA from 1 species
CCCAGACUCCUACGGGAGGCAGCAGUAGGGAAUAUUGCGCAAUGGGGGAAACCCUGAUGCAGCGACGCCGCGUGAGUGAAGAAGUAUUUCGGUAUGUAAAGCUCUAUCAGCAGGAACGAGACAAGACGGUACCUGACUAAGAAGCCCCGGCUAACUACGUGCCAGCAGCCGCGGUAAUACGUAGGGGGCAAGCGUUAUCCGGAAUCACUGGGUGUAAAGGGGGCGCAGACGGCGAUGCAAGCCAGGAGUGAAAGCCCGGGGCCCAACCCCGGGACUGCUCUUGGAACUGCGUGGCUGGAGUGCAGGAGGGGCAGGCGGAAUUCCUGGUGUAGCGGUGAAAUGCGUAGAUAUCAGGAGGAACACCGGUGGCGAAGGCGGCCUGCUGGACUGCAGCUGACGUUGAGGCCCGAAAGCGUGGGGAGCAAACAGGAUUAGAUACCCCAGUAG